UACGUAGGGUGCGAGCGUUAAUCGGAAUUACUGGGCGUAAAGCGUGCGCAGGCGGUUCGUCGUGUCCGAUGUGAAAGCCCCGGGCUCAACCUGGGAAUGGCAUUGGUGACUGCACGGCUAGAGUGUGUCAGAGGGGGGUAGAAUUCCACGUGUAGCGGUGGAAUGCGUAGAGAUCCGGAAGAACACCGGUGGCGAAGGCGGCCUGCUGGGCAGUAGCUGACACUGAGGCGCGACAGCGUGGGGAGCAAACAGG
rnacentral:rRNA from 1 species